UUUCCGUAGGUGAACCUGCGAAAGGAUCAUUAUUGUAUAACCGAGGUGCGAGGGCUGUCGCUGACCCGAAAGGUCGUGCACGCCCGAGUGCACUCACACACAUCCAUCUCACCCCUAUGUGCACCACCGCGUGGGUCCCCCUUUGGCUUGUUCGGAGGGGGGCUUACGUUUUCACACAAACUUUGUAUGCAGUGUAGAAUGUAUUUUUUGUUUUUGCGAUCACGCAAUCAAUACAACUUUCAACAACGGAUCUCUUGGCUCUC
rnacentral:misc_RNA from 1 species